CCCUUAGAUGUUCUGGGCCGCACGCGCGCUACACUGAUGCAUUCAACGAGCCUAUCCUUGACCGACAGGUCCGGGUAAUCUUUGAAUCUGCAUCGUGACGGGGAUAGAUUAUUGCAAUUAUUAAUCUUCAACGAGGAAUGCCUAGUAGGUGCAAGUCAUCAGCUUGCGUCGAUUACGUCCCUGCCCUUUGUACACACCGCCCGUCGCUCCUACCGAUUGGGUGUGCUGGUGAAAUGUUCGGAUCGGCCGUUUGUCGCGGUUUCCGCGUCAUGUGGCUGAGAAGUUCAUUAAACCCUCCCACCUAGAGGAAGAAGAAGUCGUAACA
rnacentral:rRNA from 1 species